GUCUGUAUGAUUGUUAUGUAGAGUCUGGCCUGCCCACUGAUACAAAUUAAAGGGCCGCGGUAUCUUGACCGUGCGAAGGUAGCAUAAUCAUUAGUCUCUUAAUUGGAGGCUUGUAUGAAUGGUUGGACAAAAAGUGAGCUGUCUCAGCUGCAGCGUUUGAAAUUAACUUUUAAGUGAAAAGGCUUAAAUAAUCUAAGGGGACGAUAAGACCCUAUAAAGCUUUACAGUAAAAAGGUAUAUCAUAAUGUGUUAGUAUAACUUGGUUAACCUUGGAGCUGUUUCGUUGGGGCGACGAGAAUAUAAUAAAUAACUGUUCUUUUGUGUAGUCAACAAUGGUAAUUGGUUAAAAAAUGAUCCUUUAUUAAAGAUUAAAAGAUUAAGUUACUUUAGGGAUAACAGCGUAAUCUUCUUUGAGAGUCCAGAUCGACAAGAAGGGUUGCGACCUCGAUGUUGAAUUAAGAGUUCCUUGUGGUGCAGCAGUUGCAAAGGAGGGUCUGUUCGACCUUUAAAUUCUU
rnacentral:rRNA from 1 species